UAAAAGGGUGUCUGCCGUACUAAGUGGCACUUGGGACUUCGGUUCCUCGGGGUAUGGCCAUCAAGACAUACCCGACACAUAAUUUUUUAUUAAAGCAGGGAAGUUUGCAUGCUCCGCGCUCGGACACCCUG